rnacentral:rRNA from 1 species
AUGGUACUGCGGAGGUCAUUAACGAGUUUUGAAGUGGGGCUUGAGCUGGCUAAGUAAAACAACUCUGGCGCAUAAAUGUAGUACGGCCAAGGUGUUCGCGCCUUGGUCUGGCGCUUAAUAAAAGACCAACAAAUAUGUUGGUCACCGCGCGGGUUACAAUAAAAUACGACUCCGGUGUAUAUGUAAUUGAAGCAUAUGUGGCUUGCACUUAUCUUGAUCGGUGAGAUACAGUCAAGCGUUACGUGCAAUAUAUUAUAUUUUACACUUUAGGUUGCGCGCGGGAGAAUUACAAUAGCAUGUGCUCAGCCUCCCUCUUAUCCACUCAACCCCUGUGCACUAUUCGGAGUGUUGCAAGCUGAGACUUGAAUAGGUCUUGGUCGCGUUUCUAAUGCGGCUGGGUUCUAAGACAGUCAAGGCUUGUCCUCUGGUCUAUAUACAAACUCUUAUAUUGUCUUGUAGAAUGUGUUAGCCUCUCGUUAGGCGAAACUUAAAUACAACUUUCAACAACGGAUCUCUUGGCUCUCGCAUCGAUGAAGAACGCAGCGAAAUGCGAUAAGUAAUGUGAAUUGCAGAAUUCAGUGAAUCAUCGAAUCUUUGAACGCACCUUGCGCUCCUUGGUAUUCCGAGGAGCAUGCCUGUUUGAGUGUCAUGUUAAUAUCAACCCCGUCGGUUUGUAAAUCAGACCGUUGGGUGUUGGACUUGGAGGUUCUUGCUGGCUGCAAAGUCGGCUCCUCUUGAAUGCAUUAGCUUGGGCCUGUUGUGCGUGCUCGCGGUGUAAUAAGUUUUAUUCAUCGUUUGGGUCGUACACUUAUUGGGCUUGCUUCUAACUGUCUUCGGACAAGCAUAACCUUUGACUCUGACCUCAAAUCAGGUAGGACUACCCGUGACUAGUAUUUUAAUAAAGG